GAUGAACGCUGGCGGCGUGCCUAAUACAUGCAAGUCGAGCGAACAGACGAGGAGCUUGCUCCUCUGACGUUAGCGGCGGACGGGUGAUUAACACGUGGAUAACCUACCUAUAAGACUGGGAUAACUUCGGGAAACCGGAGCUAAUACCGGAUAAUAUAUUGAACCGCAUGGUUCAAUAGUGAAAGACGGUUUUGCUGUCACUUAUAGAUGGAUCCGCGCCGCAUUAGCUAGUUGGUAAGGUAACGGCUUACCAAGGCGACGAUGCGUAGCCGACCUGAGAGGGUGAUCGGCCACACUGGAACUGAGACACGGUCCAGACUCCUACGGGAGGCAGCAGUAGGGAAUCUUCCGCAAUGGGCGAAAGCCUGACGGAGCAACGCCGCGUGAGUGAUGAAGGUCUUCGGAUCGUAAAACUCUGUUAUUAGGGAAGAACAAAUGUGUAAGUAACUAUGCACGUCUUGACGGUACCUAAUCAGAAAGCCACGGCUAACUACGUG
rnacentral:rRNA from 1 species